UCUUCAUCCCUCUUCUCUCGCCUGUUUUCUGAGCUCACCCAGCCCCUUGCUGUUGCUGUCCCCCCAGGUACCUUCACAUUUCCUCUGCCCAGCCCUCCCCCUCCCCCUCCUCCUCCCCUUGCCCCUCCUCCUCUCUCCCUCCCCCUUCUCUUCCCCCUUCUCCCCCUCCCCUUCCCCCUCCUCUACCUCUUCCUCCUCUUCCCUCUCCUCCUCCCCCUCCUCCUCCUCCUCCUCACCCUCCUCCUCCACCUCCCCCUCCUCCUCCCCCUCCCCCUCCUCCUCCCCUUGCCUCUCCUCCUCUCCCUCCCCCUUCUCUUCCCCCUUCUCCCCCUCCCCCUUCCCCUCCUCCACCUCUUCCUCCUCUUCCCUCUCCUCCUCACCUCCUCCUCCUCCUCCUCCUCCACCCUCCUCCUCCUCCACCUUCCCCUCCUCCUCACCUCCUCCUCCUCCUCCUCCUCACCCUCCCCCUCCUCCUCCUCACCCUCCUCUUCCCUCUCCUCCUCACCCUCCUCCUCCUCCUCCUCCUCCACCCUCCCCUCCUCCUCACCCUCCUCCUCCUCCUCCCCUUGCCUCUCCUCCUCUCCCUCCCCCUUCUCUUCCCCCUUCUCCCCCUCCCCCUUCCCCUCCUCCACCUCUUCCCUCUCCUCCUCACCUCCUCCUCCUCCUCCUCCUCCUCCUCCUCCUCACCCUCCUCCUCCACCUUCCCCUCCUCCUCCCCUUGCCUCUCCUCCUCUCCCUCCCCCUUCUCUUCCCCCUUCUCCCCCUCCCCCUUCCCCUCCUCCACCUCUUCCUCCUCUUCCCUCUCCUCCUCACCCUCCUCCUCCUCCUCACCUCCUCCUCCUCCUCACCCUCCUCCUCCACCUUCCCCUCCUCCUCCCCUCCUCCUCCUCCACCCCCCCUCCUCCUCACCCUCCCCCUCCUCCUCCCCUUGCCUCUCCUCCUCUCCCUCCCCCGUCUCUUCCCCCUUCUCCCCCUCCCCCUUCCCCUCCUCCUCCUCCACCUCUUCCUCCUCUUCCCUCUCCUCCUCACCUCCUCCUCCUCACCCUCCCCCUCCUCCUCCUCCCCUCCUCCUCCUCACCCUCCCCCUCCUCCUCCUCCCCUUGCCUCUCCUCCUCUCCCUCCCCCUUCUCUUCCCCCUUCUCCCCCUCCCCCUUCCCCCCUCCUCCACCUCUUCCUCCUCUUCCCUCUCCUCCUCACCCUCCUCCUCCUCCUCCUCCUCCUCCUCCUCCUCACCCUCCUCUACCUCCUCCUCCUCACCCUCCUCCUCCUCCUCCACCUUCCCCUCCUCCUCACCUCCUCCUCCUCCUCCUCCUCACCCUCCCCCUCCUCCUCCUCACCCUCCUCCUCCUCCUCCUCCUCACCCUCCUCCUCCUCCUCCUCCUGGGAGCUCCAGCUAAUUCUUUAACCCCUGGCUCACAUGUGUACAUGUCUGUGAACUUCACUUUGUCUUCAGCUUUGAGGCUUGAACACUGGCAGUGGCUUUCUUCUCUGUCCUCCUUUAGAACCAUAUGGUGCUCUCCAUGUUGUCCUUGCUGUGAUCACUCAGUUAUUUACUUGUCUUCUCUGCCAGACUGUAAGAUCCUUGGAUUUGAGAGGGGUGGUAGGUGA
rnacentral:lncRNA from 1 species